rnacentral:rRNA from 1 species
UACAGAGGUCCCGAGCGUUGUUCGGAUUCAUUGGGCGUAAAGGGUGCGUAGGCGGCGAGGAAAGUCUGAUGUGAAAUCCUGGGGCUCAACCCUGGAACUGCAUUGGAUACUUCCUUGCUAGAGUACUGGAGAGGAAACUGGAAUUUACGGUGUAGCAGUGAAAUGCGUAGAGAUCGUAAGGAAGACCAGUGGCGAAGGCGAGUUUCUGGACAGUUACUGACGCUGAGGCACGAAGGCCAGGGGAGCAAACGGG